GGCGGCCUCUGGGUAGGCGCGCGGCGUGGGCCUCAGAGCCUGCGGCCGGCAGGGAUCAGGGCUCCUAGGAGCACAGGGCGCCUGUCACCCUGCAGUCCAGUCCCAGCGGUCCUAAAUGCUGCAUCAGAGGUUUGCAUUCAUCGCUCACGGUUGCGACGGAAGAUCCGCGCGGAGAGCGAAUACUUUCUCAAAAGUUAUAUUCCGAUGUAAGCUGGGCA
rnacentral:lncRNA from 1 species